CGAGCAGGCACCGCAGCGGCUCCCACCCAGCCGGCGGAGCCGCGCAUGCGUCGUGCCGCCGCCCGCCUCGGCCGGCGCAGCCCCGCCCCGUACUCGGCGCGCGGGUCGGGGCGGGAGCGGCCGCAGCGGCAGCGAGCUGCCGAGCCCCGGGCCCGGCGCGGCCGUGUCCCGUCCCUGCCGGGGCGGCCUCCGCUCACCCCGCCGGCGAGGUCCACCGCCAACAGCUUUUGCAGCGAGGGACAGCUGGUGGCAGCGGCUCCGGCUUGCUUUCAGACCGGGCCCUGGGCGGUUCCUUGCAGCCGCCACCCCCCAGCACGCCGGCCUCGGCCUCGCAGGCAGACCUGCGCCAAAGGGGUGUCUCGGCGGCGUUAUCUGGACUAAACAGAGGCACCCGGUGGAAUCCGCAGCAGCGCGGCCUGGGAGGUUGUUCCCUGCCAGCAGCGCGCUCAGGUCACGGCUGGCAAAGCCCCCGUCCUCCGGCAGGGCCCCCGGGCAGGGCAGCAGCCGUGACCCGCUGCGAUGCCCGGCCCCUCGGAACAGCUGCUCUGGCAGGCGGAGGCGUUCCCCUGCAGCUGUAGGACGUUCAUCUGAACCUCCCGGGUAGCUGUAUGAAAAGCCAAGCGGAUGCUGCUGGUGCGGGUGCAGAAGUAAGACAUCUGAAAAAGAAGAAAGAAAAGCACUGUUUCCAUGUCCCAAGAUGCCUCAGCCUGUAGCAUGUGAUACUGAAAUAAGGCACAGUGUUUGCAGAAAGCCUAAGGUACUGGGCAAAGUUGGAAGAAAACGAAGGGAAAGAUGUUUACGCUCACUGUAAAAUCAGUUGAAGGAUUGUUAUUUUUUUGAGAAUUUUUUUGACUGAUGGGUUUGGCAGCCAAAAUUAUGUCACCCCAUUUUGUAGUAUGUUUGCCUUUUUAUUCUGAGAAAGUCACUAGGCAGGUUCUUAUUCCUGAACACUUGUGUGUGAAUCUUAGUAUGAAAAUAUGUGUAAUGAACCCAGAAUCCUAAACCGUAUUAUAUUUUAAUAAAUACAAUUUCAAGACCUUCCUGAAAAAAAAGGAAUGUCCUGUGUCAUAACUGAGCCUGUAGUCAAAAGCCUUUAUAUCACAUGGAGCUACACUGGCAGAAGUGGUCUGAGAGGGGAAUCAGAGCCUGUAGCUUUACAGAGACAAAGAAUACCACAAUCCCUCAAUAACCAGAGGAAAGAAAGGAGCUAAAGUCUGUAAGAAAAAGAAAGGGAAAGAGAUGUUGAGAGAAGGUGGUGGUGGAGCAAAAGAGGUAGGAGGCGAAGGCAUAUGCCAAAAACUGAGUAAUGACAGAAGAACAUAUUACACAAGUAAAUUUGAGCUGUGAUGGGUAAAACCCAAAUUACUUCCAGGUAUGGUAGAUAAAUUGAGAUGAUUGCAAAGUAUGGGAGAGAGUGAAAACUUAGAAAUCAAGGGACAGCUGUUACAUCCCAUCUAUGUAUUUCAUAAAACCUGAAUAGCUCAAAAUUCAGCCAAUUUAUUAUUUCAGAUAAAUUCAGGGAAGCAAAAUUUUGUUAGCUGCUUCUUCUAGGGACUUUCACUUGAUCAGAGCAGGCUGAUGUCUAUUGUAGAGCUGCUGAGAUGUGUCAUGACAGCAUGUGUAUGUGACAUUAUGACAGAGUCAGUUAUUAUGCCAUCAUGAGUAAUUUAAACAACAUUAAAUACUGUCCUCGUUUCAUCUGGGAUAGAGUUAAAUUUCUUUGUAGUAGCUAGUAGGGGACUAUGUUUUGGAUUUUUGCUGGAAACAGUGGUCAUAAUGUGGAGAUGUUUUAGUUGUUGCUGAGUAGCGCUUACACCGGUCCAGGACUUUUUCAGCUCCCCGUGCUCUGCCGGGUGCACAAGAAGCUGGGAGGGGAGGGGACACAGCCGGGACAGCUGACCCAAACUGACCAACGGGAUAUUCCAUACCAUAUGACGUCAUGCUCAGUAUAUAAAGCUGGGGGAAGAAGGAGGAAGGGGGGGACAUUUGGAGUGACGGUGUUUCUCUUCCCAAGUCACCGUUACGCACGAUGGAGCCCUGCUUUCCUGGAGACGGCUGAGCACCUGCCCGCUCAUGGGAAGUGAUGAAUGAAUUCCUUGUUUUGCUUUGCUUCUGCGCGCAGCUUUUGCUUUACCUGUUAAACUGUCUUUAUCUCAACCCAUGGGUUGCCUCACUUUUACUCUUCCAAUUCUCUCCCCCAUCCCACCAGAGGGGAGUGAGCAAGCGGCUGCGUGGUGCUUGGUUGCUGACUGGGGCUAAAUCACGACAAAUACGUGAAGAAAGGCAACUGAAGAAGCUGCAGGAUGAUGAUGGGAGCAAGUACUGCUGCCUGUGACCUUACCUUACCUUUUUAGGGUCAAAGUGAGAGAGGAAUCAUCAGUCUUUACAUAUUGGACUAAACCACAGCACAAAUUAAGUUGAUACUGAGCCUUUGUCCCCUCUCAUGCAGAAUCUCAGUUACCAUAUAUGAUUACAGUAUGACUUGCUAUUCUUAUUUGUGUUUGUUAUCAAGUGAUCAGAAACACUGGCAGGGUUUUUCGCUGUCUGAAGAUCCCUAGAUGAGACAACAGACCUCAGCGGAGCCAGAAUCUCACUGUCUAAUCCUGGCCGAAGGAUCCUGAGUGCAUGAGUGAAAGUCAGGCAUGUAGUGACUUACGGGAGCGGAGCUUUCUGUCCUGUGGUAUCCAGCUGACAGAAGGUAACACAUUGUAGCACAUAUCCUUCACCCACAUCCCUGGGCUUUCUGAUGCUACUUAGAUCAUUCCUUUCCCUCCUGGAACUUUCACUCAAUGAGUUUGCAUUUCCUAAUCAGUUAACUUGCUUGCAGCAGUGAGAGUUCCUAUUUGUAAGUAAUGCCAUCCUGUAUCUUUGAUACAAGCUUUUGCAACCCAUUUUUUGUGCAAAUACAGGCAUAUAACUCAAAUCAAUUGGUUUCAGUAGGAUUAUCCUAAGAGUGUUAAGUGCUGCAUCAUGCUGUUCUCCAAGAGACAGAUUCUGCAGUCCAGUACAACUUAUUUUUUGAAGGAAAAGGGGUAGCAGAACAAUUCAGUAGUUAAACCAAGGAGAUAAUCACCUUCCUGUUCAGUUUAUCUACAAAUGUGAGAGAUUCCGUGACAGUAUUAACGAUACACCAUAUUGAUAUUUACAUCUCAAAAUAUCAUUCCUUUCAACUUGGAGGAAGGGAGGAAGAUUGUGUCACAUUUUGCAGAUGGGAGGACAGCCACAGAAGAGGUGAAGGGCUUUAGGGUAACCCAGCAUCCUAGGGGAAAGGUCUUCUAGCUUCCAGCUUCUAGCCAAGGGUUUCUUAGCAGAAGGCAGCAAUGUCACCAGGGACUAGGGACUCUGGCCAGCUUCUAAGAUGAAUUUCAAAAUCUUUUGAGCACCUACUAAAAAGGAGUAUCAAAGUGAUAAGAUAAACCAAAUGCUAUAGCUGGUAUUGUGAACAGCAUUUUUGCCAACCAAAGUGAAAACAAGCAUUUCUAGAACUCUUCAAUAUUUUUUGCCAGCUGUCAUUCACUGUGUGAAUCUCUGUUAUUAUGCAGGAGUGGAUUCCACAAUUUCCAAGGCAUUUUUAACCGUUGUGUAGUUUUGUUGGUACUCACCCUUAUUCACAUUACUCUGGAGAGCUGUAUUAAAUGAGUUACUGAAAGGAAGGCAUGGCAGAAAUUCCUUGCAUGCCUGACUUUGGUCUCUGUCCAGCCCUUCUAUGAGCUCUAAAUUUCACCAAAUUCCCCUUGAUUUAUGCCAUGUCACUCAAAAGGCCAAUCUGUCCCUGGAUAAUGUAAUAACAUACCAUUUGUGUGCUUCGUAGGCUCAUGGUACUGAAAGCAUAGGCUUGGUGAUGCAGACUUUUAACUUGCUUUCAUUGUAACAUUCCCUGCUGUGAUGGUCUGUAGAGCGAAAGCCACAACUCCAGGUGAGAGAUUUAUUUUGGGCUAUAAGUGUUACCCUGAUGCACCAUCAGCCCAGCAGUACAAUGGCAACGCAUCCCAGAACUGAUGUGAUUGUCACAGUAGAAGAGCUGCUGUACUAUCUUUAACACCCAAAAUUACAAAACAUUGAAAAGUAUAUGGGACAAGCUUGCUAAGUAACUCUUGUGUAGCUUAUGAGUGGGUCUUAUGCAGCAUGCAAAGCAUAAGGGUCAAAUCUUAAAGGUAUUCUGUCUUUCUGUAUUCAGUGUCAUAAUCUCGGUCCCUUGUAUAUGUGUGUAGCCUCCAUCAGGGAAAACAGUAAUGAGUUUGCAUACCAAGGAGAUCUUAAAUCCCAGUUCCCCUUCAGUAAUGCAUAAUGUCAACAGAAGCCUUUGAUGAAUGCAGCUUCUUAAUUAGAUGCUUGAGCAGGAGAUUAUUAAUCCAUUUAUCUCAAAUUCUAAUCGUACCAUGAAUCGCUCACUGUUUUAUGCCUAGGUUUAUGAUCAUAGUUAGCUUCCUAGAACCUUUAAAGAGUCAUACUCAUAAAUUAAUGUAUUUCUGGAAACUUGAAUUGUUGUAUUCUUAUUUGUAUUACUUUCCGCAAUAUGUGUGUGUACAUAUUCCGAAAACCUUACUCCAUCAGCCAGGGGUAUCUUGCAACAUAACAGUUACAUGCCAUUUCCAUGGUAGUGACAUCUGACCUUUAAAAAAAUGGAUUUUGGCACCAGUAAGGGGAAAUGGCUGAUUAUCAUGGCAAAGGCUGGUCUUUAUGUAUCAGAAUUACCGAGUGGGCAUGAUUUGGGGACCUACCAGCUUUCAAAUGCAUCUUAGAACCGUAAGCUUAGGUUGUGAUGCUAAUAUAUAAUUGCUACUGAUCCCAUAGAUCUAAAACUCAGUCCUAGGAGAUUCAGGGCAAGCCAAUCCAUUUGGUAAAAGAGCACGUAGUUGCCUGGAUGACACAUUUGCCCGGACGCAGCCAAGGAUUCUUUUGAAAAUACCUUCAUAGCAGGCAGAAGCUUUUCCUCUGAACAUGCUGAAUUGGCCUAUUUGGCAAUUCAUGGUGCAUACUGCAAUGGCUCCAUCUGCUGAAACAACUCAUAAAUCAGUUGAAACUUCAAAAAGUUGCAGCAAACGGGAUUCUUUCUCCUAUCGUCAGUGCUAUUAAUGUCCUCUUUGUUUCUGUGUCUAGGGUGGGCUACGUAAGAAGAGACUAAGAACAUAUUGCAGUUUCUUUGUGGGUAUGUGACCCCACACAACAGAGGGAUGAGAGCAACAGGCACACGGCUGACAUUCAGUCAGGUGGAAUAAUAAAUGGUAGCGAAUGAAGUCACUUUCUCAGCGUGUCCCUGGUUUUAUAUGGGCUGUUGUGUAGAGCUUGCUGUGUGCAAGCAAAGAUUUAAUGCACCAUUUAAAUUGUACAGUCAUAUCUGGGAAGACAAAAAGGUGUUAAAGUGAGGGGGGUGGUUCUGCUGUGUUCUAUGGUUUUAACUACCUAUACUGUCUGCUAUUAAAAAACACAAAUGAACCCUACCACAGCUACUUUCUAUUCUAAAAAUGGUGGCAGAUGAUAGCUCUUCUGGCACCUGGAGGCUCACGUGUUGUCAAAUAAUUGCUUUUCAGUGGUGUUACUGACAUCCUAGCUAACAAUGUCCCAGCUGUCCUUUCCAGUUCAGAAUGUGUUCCUCAUUAAGGUCCUUGCAUCUCACUGCUGAACAGAUUCAGACUGGCAUGAGGCUGACUGCUCCCGUCCUUUCAGUUCUAGGAUGGCACUUCAUGGCAGACACUGUAUCUGUGUUGACAUGCCGCUGGGCUAAAUUUAGUUCCAAGUAAUAAAAUAAAAUUAUACCUGCAGAGCUGAGUGUCAUUGCAUCUCAUUUUAGACAAGAAAAUAAUUUGUAGAUAUCUGUUUUGCAUCUGGCAGGCUGUAUAAACAGAGGUAUCUGCUGUCUGAUUAGCAAAUAUAGAGGAGUUUCUUGCACUGUCUGCACUUGGGGAGCUACGGUAGCUUACUGUGUUAGCUCCUGCUUCACUUCAAUUUUUUUCUCUCCUUUCUCUUAGUUGGAGGGCUGCUGACCUUGUUUGUGUAUCUCAUCAUUCCCCUGAAACUGUUCUCCUACUAUCAGGUGAAUCGAUGGCAUAGGGAGGGGAGCGCCAGCUCUAUUGGAGAAACUGCCAGGACACAAAAUCAGCAGAUCCCAGAACUUUUCAGUCAGUGUGACUGGCAGCAGACAUUAAAAAUUAUGAUCUAUUUAUGCAUGGGCUGAGCUCAGAACUGGGACUUCUGCACCCUACAGUUUUCUGAACCCCUCCCAGUUCUGCCAAGGAUGUAGUUUGUGACUUGGAAAAAGUCGGUUCUUUCUGAGUUUCCUUAUCAGUAGAGAGAGCCUUUGGGCCAUGUAGACAUCUCUUGCCUCACCAAGACUGGAAGGAUUAAUUCACUUAUACAUUUGAAGGCACAAGUUGCUAUGCAGGGCCAGACCCUGUGUCAGUGCAUCAAAGGGAGAUUUUACGAUUGACUUUGAGGGGAGGAGGACCGUGGUCCAAGCGCCUACAAAUGGAUAAAACCCACAAUGAUGAGGCAAGUUAAUGCAUAAAUUCCUUGCCCUCUCUCCCCCAAACCUUUCUGUUUGCUUUUCUUAUUAACUUAGUAUUCCUGCUCAGUCUUCAAGCUCAUUUUUCUCCUGAGCAUUGCUUGUCCUUAUGAUUCUUUCUGGCAGAGCUUUUCUGCUUGAAAAAGGCACUUUGAGUCAUACUGUGCUCUUGACUGGGAACUAAUAGAACUGAUCCAAUCUGGUGAGUCAGAGUAAGUUCUGCAUCUCUGCCUUGUGGACUGAGUGAAGCAGAGGCCUAACUCACAGCUGAAAUGUUAGAAACAAGAGGGAGCAAUGCUGAGGAGGAUCUCAUAGUCAAAUGCCAAAACACAAUUAAGAAUUUGUGUGGCAGUCCGUCUGUUCCUCUGUGCCCCACUUGUAAGAAGGGGACAGCAGCAUUGUCCUAAUUCACCAGUGCAUUAAGAAGGUGCGCCAGUUAGAGACUGGGUGCUCAGAGUCUGGGGUGGUGGAAGGGCCCACUGAAUCCCAGAAGGCAGAGGGAAGGGGUCCCUGACCCAGUUUGUUGGAGACUGCCCAAGGAUCAAAUCAAAAGCAGAAGGGGAUAAAAUGUUCAUGCUGAUACCAUCACCUUGACUUCACAAGAAGUUGACUGGUGCAGUAUCAGCCAUUCCUGCUUACGUAGGGUCGUUUGUGGCCUCAGAUUCUCCUGAUCCCUGUGAUGCCUUACAUGUUUUUGUUCACAGCAGAACGUUCCAACCAUGGCUCCAGGAAGAAUGAAAGAUGACAGUCAGAGCAGAUCACCCAGUGAAUCUGAAAGUAAAAGGUAACUAACUAUUUGUCCUUUUACAGCAGUUACCUCUUCUCUGUCA